CCCCUCCCGGGAUCGCACCUGGAGAGUUUCCAUUCCUCUGACAGUCUUGGCUACAGGAGGGAGAGUCAAGCGGAGGCCUACCCAUUCCAUUCCUAGCUUGGCCAGUGGCUAGCGAGUGGAAGGCAACCCGCUACAAGU